rnacentral:rRNA from 1 species
CCUACGGGAGGCAGCAGUGGGGAAUUUUGGACAAUGGGCGCAAGCCUGAUCCAGCCAUGCCGCGUGAGUGAAGAAGGCCUUCGGGUUGUAAAGCUCUUUCGGCGGGGAAGAAAUGGUUUCGGUUAAUACCCGGAGCUGAUGACGGUACCCGCAUAAGAAGCACCGGCUAACUACGUGCCAGCAGCCGCGGUAAU